UAGUCCACGCCGUAAACGAUGUCUACUAGCAGCUCGGUUCGUCAAGAACGGUUUUGCGCAGCUAACGCGUUAAGUAGACCGCCUGGGGAGUACGGCCGCAAGGUUAAAACUCAAAUGAAUUGACGGGGGCCCGCACAAGCGGUGGAGCAUGUGGUUUAAUUCGAUGCAACGCGAAGAACCUUACCAUCCCUUGACAUCCAGAGAAUUUACUAGAGAUAGUUUAGUGCCUUCGGGAGCUCUGAGACAGGUGCUGCAUGGCUGUCGUCAGCUCGUGUUGUGAAAUGUUGGGUUAAGUCCCGCAACGAGCGCAACCCAUAUCCUUAUUUGCCAGCACUUCGGGUGGGAACUUUAAGGAGACUGCCGGUGACAAACCGGAGGAAGGUGGGGACGACGUCAAGUCAUCAUGGCCCUUACGGGGAUGGGGCUACACACGUGCUACAAUGGGUGGGGUACAGAGGGGCAGCGAACUAGCGAUAGUAAGCGAAUCUACUUAAAACCC
rnacentral:rRNA from 1 species